rnacentral:tRNA from 1 species
GCGGUGGUUCAGUGGUAGAUUGCUCGCCUGCCACGCGGGCGGCCCGGGUUCAGUUCCCGACCGAUGCA